AAGUCGUAACAAGGUUUCCGUAGGUGAACCUGCGGAAGGAUCAUUAACACGUAUCCAACGUUAAACAACCCUGUGAACCUUGAACGUGCUCCUGCAGCCCCAUGAAAUCAGCAAUCCCUGGUAAAUCAUUGUUGACCAGCUUUUGAGUCAGGGACCUCUGCCGAAACGGCUGUUCAGUACCGAGCGCGGUGUAAGCGACCUGGCAUCCCCAAGCGAUCAGUGUCUGAAAGUGUCAUUGAUUGUGUAAGGAUGGCGCAGUAAACGAUUGCUAGAGGCCCACACGGCCGGCAACCCCUUUAUCACCCCACAGUUUCCGACUGGGCAGCCGAUAAUACGGACGCCGUAAAAAACUGAACAACUGUUAACAAUGGAUAUCUUGGUUCUC
rnacentral:misc_RNA from 1 species